rnacentral:rRNA from 1 species
GACGAACGCUGGCGGCGUGCCUAAUACAUGCAAGUCGAACGCUUCUUUCCUCCCGAGUGCUUGCACUCAAUUGGAAAGAGGAGUGGCGGACGGGUGAGUAACACGUGGGUAACCUACCCAUCAGAGGGGGAUAACACUUGGAAACAGGUGCUAAUACCGCAUAACAGUUUAUGCCGCAUGGCAUAAGAGUGAAAGGCGCUUUCGGGUGUCGCUGAUGGAUGGACCCGCGGUGCAUUAGCUAGUUGGUGAGGUAACGGCUCACCAAGGCCACGAUGCAUAGCCGACCUGAGAGGGUGAUCGGCCACACUGGGACUGAGACACGGCCCAGACUCCUACGGGAGGCAGCAGUAGGGAAUCUUCGGCAAUGGACGAAAGUCUGACCGAGCAACGCCGCGUGAGUGAAGAAGGUUUUCGGAUCGUAAAACUCUGUUGUUAGAGAAGAACAAGGACGUUAGUAACGGAACGUCCCCUGACGGUAUCGAACCAGAAAGCCACGGCUAACUACGU